rnacentral:rRNA from 1 species
AGGGCACCACCAGGAGUGGAGCCUGCGGCUUAAUUUGACUCAACACGGGAAACCUCACCCGGCCCGGACACGGACAGGAUUGACAGAUCGAUAGCUCUUUCUCGAUUCCGUGGGUGGUGGUGCAUGGCCGUUCUUAGUUGGUGGAGCGAUUUGUCUGGUUAAUUCCGAUAACGAACGAGACUCUGGCAUGCCAACUAGUUACGCGACCCCCCGAGCGGUCGGCGUCCCCCAACUUCUUAGAGGGACAAGUGGCGUUCAGCCACCCGAGAUUGAGCAAUAACAGGUCUGUGAUGCCCUUAGAUGUCCGGGGCUGCACGCGCGCUACACUGACUGGCUCAGCGUGUGCCUACCCUACGCCGGCAGGCGCGGGUAACCCGUUGAACCCCAUUCGUGAUGGGGAUCGGGGAUUGCAAUUAUUCCCCAUGAACGAGGAAUUCCCAGUAAGUGCGGGUCAUAAGCUUGCGUUGAUUAAGUCCCUGCCCUUUGUACACACCGCCCGUCGCCACUACCGAUUGGAUG